AGAGUUUGAUCCUGGCUCAGAUUGAACGCUGGCGGCAGGCCUAACACAUGCAAGUCGAACGGUAACAGGAAGAAGCUUGCUUCUUUGCUGACGAGUGGCGGGCGGGUGAGUAAUGUCUGGGAAACUGCCUGAUGGAGGGGGAUAACUACUGGAAACGGUAGCUAAUACCGCAUAACGUCGCAAGACCAAAGAGGGGGACCUUCGGGCCUCUUGCCAUCGGAUGUGCCCAGAUGGGAUUAGCUAGUAGGUGGGGUAACGGCUCACCUAGGCGACGAUCCCUAGCUGGUCUGAGAGGAUGACCAGCCACACUGGAACUGAGACACGGUCCAGACUCCUACGGGAGGCAGCAGUGGGGAAUAUUGCACAAUGGGCGCAAGCCUGAUGCAGCCAUGCCGCGUGUAUGAAGAAGGCCUUCGGGUUGUAAAGUACUUUCAGCGGGGAGGAAGGGAGUAAAGUUAAUACCUUUGCUCAUUGACGUUACCCGCAGAGGAAGCACCGGCUAACUCCGUGCCAGCAGCCGCGGUAAUACGGAGGGUGCAAGCGUUAAUCGGAAUUACUGGGCGUAAAGCGCACGCAGGCGGUUUGUUAAGUCAGAUGUGAAAUCCCCGGGCUCAACCUGGGAACUGCAUCUGAUACUGGCGAGCUUGAGUCUCGUAGAGGGGGGUAGAAUUCCAGGUGUAGCGGUGAAAUGCGUAGAGAUCUGGAGGAAUACCGGUGGCGAAGGCGGCCCCCUGGACGAAGACUGACGCUCAGGUGCGAAAGCGUGGGGAGCAAACAGGAUUAGAUACCCUGGUAGUCCACGCCGUAAACGAUGUCGACUUGGAGGUUGUGCCCUUGAGGCGUGGCUUCCGGAGCUAACGCGUUAAGUCGACCGCCUGGGGAGUACGGCCGCAAGGUUAAAACUCAAAUGAAUUGACGGGGGCCCGCACAAGCGGUGGAGCAUGUGGUUUAAUUCGAUGCAACGCGAAGAACCUUACCUGGUCUUGACAUCCACGGAAGUUUUCAGAGAUGAGAAUGUGCCUUCGGGAACCGUGAGACAGGUGCUGCAUGGCUGUCGUCAGCUCGUGUUGUGAAAUUUUGGGUUAAGUCCCGCAACGAGCGCAACCC
rnacentral:rRNA from 1 species